CACUUGACAUUUUUAAUAUUUAUUUGGGUACGUAUUUACUUGACAAUAUUUGUAUCAUACCAGUGCAGUUUAAAAAGAAAAAUGAGAAAUGGUCACUAAAUGUUUGGCACAGAAUGGCAGAAUGAAUUAAACUAAUGCCCCAUUUAAUACCUGCUUUUUUAUUAUUAUUUAUUUUUACACUUGCAAUGAUUAAUCUCUACAGCACUAAUUCUUAAUACCGUGUAACAAGAACAAUAGGUUCUAAAAUAGAAGGUGCUUGAAUACAAAGACUUAUUCAGUCAGAACCAUUCAGAGAGCUUUCUCUACCCCAGUUUAUCAGCUGGUUUGGUGCAGAUACAGGUACAGCCACCGCAGAUGAAAAGGGGACAAGCCGGAUUGCUCCCACAGUCAUUGUGGGUUUCGAAAAUACAUGCCCUGGGAAGAACAGGUAGUGUGAUAAGGAAAUGAGCAGUCCUUUCUUUCCAUGUUGCUUUGUUGGCGCCAAAAUGAACUGGGACUUGGAGCAGGUCUCAGUCCCCCGAAUGACACAAAGCCCCUCCGAAAUGUUGAGUUGUCCUUAAAGGGCUGUCCUGUGAAAGCACUUCAAGCCAUGUUGCAUAAAGGUCCAGGCGGAAAGCCAGUGUUUCAGUGUUUAAACAGCCAUAAGCAUGUGUUUGCUUUGUGUCUGUGGCCAUGCUACAGGUCUGGAGAAAUCAUUCACAGCUGUCUCUAAUGGCCCAGAAGAGGAUUUUGGCAGGUUAAGAAUCUGGCAGCAUUUGUGGCCGACAAAUUUCACCACUGUAAACCAAAGGCUUCACUUCUCAGUAGAAGCAGCAGAACGAGUGCUGAAGAGCUGGCACACUGUCAGGCAGAUCGCUGAAGAAUAGGGAUCGCAUGUCGGGCUGGCCGGGCCGUUUCCUCCCUGCUGUGAUGUUUGUUUGGUCCUCCGGCGGCACUUCCAAACAGACAAUUUGAGAAUUGUAUGAGCCAUUUAAUUUCCUGUCUAGAUGCUUGAUACAAACAAAACAUGCUCACCAUUUAUCAGGAAUCCAUCUAACAGGCUCAAAGUAAGUGAAUGGUUGAACAGUUUGAUAGGAACGAGAGAGAGAGGAAAUGAAACUAGAUUUAUGAAACCAUCACAUUAUUCUCGACCACAUUCCUACAGAUUCCGAUAAAUGUCUCCCAAUUAUUAAUGAGAAUGGACAGACUGCCCCAGAAAUAUCCUUAAGCUCUGGGUCUUCAGGGGGUUGUCAUGGUCGGGCUAACAGUGAACUGAUUCUCAAUCCAAAAUGCAUGAGCGGGUGCCAUUUUCAAGAAUCAUGCGGCGGUAAGAGCGAUUAAGGUCUCAGAUUCUGUAUAUAUUCCAAAAAUACUCGUUUGUCAUCACCAGCUUUUUGUAAUCACAGUAUUUGGCUUAGAAAAAAUGUCUUCUAUAUAGAACUGACCUUGUUUUAACCCUUUGGUGUUAUUCUGUCAUUUUUGACCAGAAAAUUUUAUGUUUUGUUUUUAUUUUUUUUAUUUUUUUUACUUCUUGGUAUGAAUGGUAUGAAACUUGGUAGGGAUUGUGUUACUUGCUAUGUGAACACAGAGAAGAAGAAGAAAAAGAAAAAAACAACAACAUGGACAUGAUAUGAAAAGGUUAAAUGGUCCUGAAAAGAACAGUCACUUAAAAAAAAUAGUCACUUGUAUUGGGGAGUGAAUUUCAACUAGUUGAAAUGUUUGG
ensembl:lncRNA